rnacentral:tRNA from 1 species
AGUGCGGGUGCGGAGACGGCCUCACCGGGGCGGCUCUGCGGCAGCCGCUGGUCGACGGCGGCAGCGACGUCGGCGGGGUCGGCUCCGGCGCGCGUCA